CAGCUACCAACCAUUAGAUGGGUGGCCACCCCAUCCCUCAAUGUGCUCAUAACACUCGUGGCUGUGUAUGAUGACAAUGUCUAAAUCGCAUUCUUUAGGCUUCAGCUGGUUACCUCCAGGGGUCAGGAAGGAAUUGCCCCCUCGAUACGCAGUUGUAAUUGUGGGGUGGGGCGUGGCAGGUUGCCUUCCUGUGAAGCAUCAAAGGUUGGCCAUGAUGAGAGAUGGGAUACUGGCGGGGAUGGACCAGUGUUGUGAGGUGGUGCAAAGCAUCCUCUGUCUUACAUACCUGGCUGGUGGGUCUUGCUUACAUGUGGAGAGUCUAACUGAGCCCCAGAUUUGGGGUCAGGAAGGAAUUUCUCCCAAGUCAGCGUGGCAGGGACUUCGGGGGUUUUCACCUUCCUCUGCAGCAUGGGUCAGCUGUCAAGAUACCCGGGCAGGUCUCACCUAAUCACUUCCUGACACCACAGACACCUUGGACAUUGCUGGCAUCUCAGACUCUCCUGGUCUCUGCCUGUAGGGACAGUUAAUUAAAGUCAGGUUAAGUUUGGUUAAGAAAAUAAUAUCUGCUUUAUGGUUUGUGGCUAGUACGGGAAAGGCCCCAGUCAACACAUAAAGGAAGGUCAUGAGAAUAAUAAGUAAUAUUGCUUAUAGUGUGGGAAAGCCGUUUGGACUGCUCAAGUGAAAAGCUGCAGUAAUAAGACAAAGAGAAACUGUCUUAAAAGAAACAAGCGAAAACCUUCCCAUGGGUCUGAUGGUAAGGGGGGAGGAGGAGAUAAGAAAGGAAGGCCUUGGCAGAAGGGAAGGAGCAAGGCUGAACUGUUCCAACUGGGAUUUGCUAAAGCUAGCAAGUUAGCUGGGGUGUCUAAAGAGAGCUGUGAAUGUGAAGGUGCUUUGUCAGGCCUGACCUGAUCACACCGGGCACAGCAGGCUGAGACGCUCAUCCCCAAGUCCAGCCCAUUUGUAAGUAUACUGAACACGUGGUUGUGAACACUUUGUUACUGUGCUGGGCGUAGUGACGGCUUGUUUUACACUGUUAGACCUGUGUGGAGCAAUUGUAUAAAUGCCAUUUGGCCUUUGGGUUUAAUCAAGGACUUUAUGAUUAAAUGAGUGUUCUGGUAGUACCCUGCCUAAAUGACAAUAAUUCCAGUGUUCUGGGGACCCACGAAGGGACCCCCACUGGCAUUCAUUUCAGUUGCUCUCAAGCCCCAGACUGAAGGCAUAGAGACCUAUCCGCCAGGGCCACGAUCAUUUCUCUCCUAACGAGCAAAUCAAUAGCAAAAGGGAGAUGGAAGGUACUUUGGAUACCUGUGUGGAAAGCUUCUUAGCAGAGGUCUGUUGAGUGCCACUGAACUUUUAAAGAAUAAGACCCCUAGGUGACCUUGAAGACAAAUAUUAACACUGCCUUCUUAACCCACCCAGGGUAAAGAAAGCCCAGCCUAAGGCAGCCGUGUUGCACUUGGUGGCUAAGGCUUUGCAAGCAAAGUGCGCCACCUUGACGGAUAAGUGCAAAAAGCACAAAACUAAGCUCAGGGCCGUGGAGAGAAAUCAGCUGAUGAGUGUGUCACUUUGGGAGAUGAGUGAUUUAAAGAACGAGCACACGGAGUUCAAAGUAGCUUUUGCACAAAUUCACACCUCAGAGUUCAGGGGGAACUAAACAGUCCGGGGUUGUGGACAUGUUAAAAAACUGGAAGAAGUCAUCCUGAGCGUGAUAACGGGUUAAACGCUUGGUUUAAUAAUGAAACCCAGUUAUAGCAAUACAGCUCGGAGACAGUCACGCUCGGUGGAGCCCUGGUAGUCAGAACAUGCAAACAGGAGGUUAGGUGGUAAGAUCACCACCACUCUGCCUUUUUCCCCAGGAACCUUUACAGCCGUUCCGAAGGAACAUGGACUCUUUGCCCAAAGAAAUGCCCUUUCAACGUCUUUCUAAUUAAGGACCAGAGGACGUGAUUGUAGCUGUGGCAGUCGUCCAGGAGAAGAAUGAAAAAUGACAAAGCCAGCGCCCCUCGGGAGCAAGGGCAGGGGCUGUUGGUAGCGUCCAGAGAGGCCGGUGUGAUUGUGGGUGGAGAAGGCGCGUCAAUAAAACGCAGACAUAACAAUCCGAAUUUGGGGAUCUGAGGAAGCCGCUGUCAUUGAAGUGACAGCCGGAGCCCAGCUCAGUCAGGGUGUGAAAUAAACAAUGCCACUGGAUAUCGCACACCAUUCUGCAAGUGGCCUGAAGACAAGCGAAAAAAAGAACUGAAAUCAGUUGUGGUGGGACCGUGUCUCUGCCCAGCCUGCGAAGAGCUGAAAAUCACUGAGACGGAUGUGCAGAGGUCACAGCCAAGUGGCAGGUGGCAGCAGAAGAUGACUGAUAGUUGGCUGGCGAACGAGUGGCUGGUGAAGCGGUGAGCAGAACAAACCGCUGGCGAGGCAGAGGAACCGUGGCUGGCGGAACGGCCAGCAGAGAGGAACCAUGGCUGGUGGGCCAGCUAGGCGGCGAGGAGCAGCUGCUGGCGAGGCGGCCAGCUGAAGCAAGUGCUCAGAUGCAGAGCAAGCAAGGUGCCUUCUUCCCCGGGUGCGAGGUGAACUCACACAGAUGCACCUCUGAACCCUGGGUCCUCUCUGACCAAGGACAACCCCCGUGAGUGGGGUGUGGAGAGGAAGCGGAGAGAGGCACAGAAAAGGAACUUUUGGUUGUAGAACUCAAGAACAUGAGACAGACGACUCUGCCCCUGGCACUCUGGGGUGGGCGUCCUGCUCACAGUGUUAUGUUUAUGAAUCCUGUUUGUGGGAUUUUCCCUAAUUAAUGCCAGGUGA